CAUAUUCCUUCCUGUCAUAUACUGUAUACUACCUGCUGUUCUUUUUUUCCUGUGCAUAUACAGGUCCAUUCUGUUCUGCAUCAGUAGAAACCAUACCUGUUUGCCAUUGUGAGUUACAGAUGACAGAAUGGUCCUCAGUGUCUUGAAGCCCAUUGCGAUGUCCAAUAGGGGAGAAAACAUCUACUAUGCAGAAAACAAUGAGGACUGUGUUAACUUGUUUAAGGCAGAUGAGUAUAUGAAUGAAGCCAAAAACCUACAUAUGUUCAUAUCCAACCCCUUCUGUGACUUACUCUUCUUGAGAUAUUAUCAUAAAAGUAGCAUCACAUUUACUCAUGUUUGUAUGUGGAGAACUUAAAAAACAUACACCACAUUUUUUGGUGAUCACGGAACUCACCCCCACUAACAAGGCAUACCUUUCUCUUUACAAACUUGUCCCAGUAGUUAUUAGGAAAAGAUCUGAAAAACAAAACGAAAAAGGUUGGUUCUUCAUUCUUAACAUCAAGGAAAACA
rnacentral:lncRNA from 1 species